UAACUGAUGCCUCAUUUGAUGCUGUCUGUUCUGAGUCUGGCAUCAGCUUUAAACUAGACCACCGGCCUAUUUAAUACCUGUGGGAGAUCAGUAUUGGCUCAGAGCUGGCAACUAAGCACGGCUACGUCAUGAGCAACAAUAGCCAGAGACUGCUGCUUGAGGUGCCGCUCUUCACUCAUGGCUACGAGUACAAGGACAUUACUUUGAAGGGCUUGUCCGUUCUUUACUACUGAACUUAUUGGUCUACGGAGUCCCUUCAAGCCCACUUCAAUGCUUCAAACACCAGUGCCCACUACCAUACCCACCCCAAGACCUGUUUCAGUGCAACCU